GACGAACCGUGCGAACGUUGUUCGGAAUCACUGGGCUUAAAGGGCGCGUAGGCGGGCAAGCAAGUCCGGGGUGAAAGCCCCCAGCUCAACUGGGGAAGUGCCUUGGAAACUGCUUGUCUUGAGGGAGGUAGGGGCCUGUGGAACUUCGGGUGGAGCGGUGAAAUGCGUUGAUAUCCGAAGGAACGCCGGUGGCGAAAGCGACGGGCUGGACCUCUUCUGAUGCUGAGGCGCGAAAGCCAGGGGAGCAAACGGG
rnacentral:rRNA from 1 species